UAAGGAAUAUUGGUCAAUGGACGCAAGUCUGAACCAGCCAUGCCGCGUGGAGGAUUAAGGCCCUCUGGGUUGUAAACUCCUUUUAUAUGGGAAGAAAUGUUCCGAUUCUUCGGGACUUGACGGUACCAUAGGAAUAAGCACCGGCUAACUCCGUGCCAGCAGCCGCGGUAAUACGGAGGGUGCAAGCGUUAUCCGGAUUCACUGGGUUUAAAGGGUGCGUAGGCGGGCAGGUAAGUCAGUGGUGAAAUCUCCGAGCUUAACUCGGAAACUGCCAUUGAUACUAUUUGUCUUGAAUAUUGUGGAGGUAAGCGGAAUAUGUCAUGUAGCGGUGAAAUGCUUAGAUAUGACAUAGAACACCAAUUGCGAAGGCAGCUUACUACACAAAGAUUGACGCUGAGGCACGAAAGCGUGGGGAUCAAACAGGAUUAGAUACCCUGGUAGUCCACGCCCUAAACGAUGAUUACUCGACAUACGCGAUACACUGUGUGUGUCUGAGCGAAAGCAUUAAGUAAUCCACCUGGGAAGUACGUUCGCAAGAAUG
rnacentral:rRNA from 1 species